CAGAGAAAGUAGUUCUGUUUUAGCAACCCAACAAGAGAACAAAAAGAUUGCGGAAAGACGGUUAGCAUCAGAGAGCCGGGCCCAGAAACCUGGCCCUCUAUCUGUGGCUGUGUGACCUGGGGACGAGCCUGAUCCUUCGCCUGAGCUGUCUCCCUGUGAACAGAGACAGCGACAGCCCCUCCCUCUGGGGGUCCAGGAGCGAUGAAACAAUGUAUACAGAGCACUCGGCCAUAGUGCCUGACGCACGGCGCAGAGUCAGGACACUCCCACCGGUAAGGGCAGUGGAGGAAGUGGCAGCAGCGAUAAUUCGGCGGGAACCUGGCUUGGAAGGAAGGAAGGAGGAAACCUCCUUUCCCACUGCAUUCAGAGCGAAGGGCAGAUGUGUUGGUCAAAUGGUAUGAGUGGCUAAAAAACUCCAUACCGGACAUCUGCUACAGCAAAGCCGAGAGCCACCAUCCAUGAUGCAGACCGGAAGUCAGGAUCCAGAGCUGUCCCAACGGAGCGACCUGCCCACAGAGUGCCAGCACUCGGAAGAACAAAUUACUUGUGACACAAAGGCCACGGGCGGCAUGGCUGAGAGCCGCCAGUGACAGUGACACCAAAGAGCACGGCCUGCCGUCGGCACCUCCCAUAAUGCCCCCUUCACCCCCACCCUGUGCAGGAGGCAUGGCCGACCCCCUGGUGACAAGUAUAGAAACAGGCUUGUAGACUUACUAGGACACCCUGCCGGUGAGUAGCGGAGCUAGAACCCCACCCAGGGUGCUGUCAGAGCCCGCGGCAGAGGAGGAGGACGUAACUACAGUGGUGGCGGCGGGGGUCAGGGGUCAUAGGAACAAUACUGAGAAUAAGAGGAAACACCUCCAGGGCUCACCUGCACCAGGCACCACUCUAAGAGUGCUACGCCUAUCACCUCAUUCGUUCCUCCCAUGAAAACUCUGAUCUUCAUUUCACAGGGAGGAAACCGAGACAGAGAUGUUAAGUGACUUGCCCAAGGUCACACAGCUGGAAAGUGGCAGAGGCCAGAUCUGAAUUCAGAACCCAACCUUUUGGCCAUCAUACAUGCAGCCUCUGCGCUGCCCUAAAGCUUUAUUUGAACAUAAGAUGUACAUUGGCAUGGAGGUCCUCAUGGUUGGUUUUAGCCAAAGGACAGACUUCUCAGGAGAGGGUCCCAUGUCUUCCAACUUUUCUGGCACAGAAACUUUAAAUCAGUGAAAUACAAUGAUUUCCCUCAUUUGUGGAGUAUAACAAUGAACCAAAACUGAAGGAACAAAAUAGCAGCAGACUCACAGACUCCA